rnacentral:rRNA from 1 species
CUACGUAGGGGGCGAGCGUUGUCCGGAAUGAUUGGGCGUAAAGGGCGCGUAGGCGGCGCGGUAAGUCUGGAGUGAAAGCCCUGCUUUCAAGGUGGGAAUUGCUUUGGAUACUGCCGCGCUUGAGUGCAGGAGAGGUUAUCGGAAUUCCAGGUGUAGCGGUGACAUGCGUAGAGAUCGGGAGGAACACCAGUGGCGAAGGCGGGUAACUGGACUGCAACUGACGCUGAGGCGCGAAAGUGUGGGGAGCAAACAGGAUUAGAUACCCUGGUAGUCCACACUGUAAACGAUGAAUGCUAGGUGUAAGAGGUAUCGACCCCUUUUGUGCCGGAGUCAACACAAUAAGCAUUCCGCCUGGGGAGUACGGCCGCAAGGUUGAAACUCAAAGGAAUUGACGGGG